rnacentral:rRNA from 1 species
UGCCUACGGGAGGCAGCAGUAGGGAAUCUUCCACAAUGGGCGAAAGCCUGAUGGAGCAACGCCGCGUGGGUGAAGAAGGUCUUCGGAUCGUAAAACCCUGUUGUUAGAGAAGAAAGUGCGUGAGAGUAACUGUUCACGUUUCGACGGUAUCUAACCAGAAAGCCACGGCUAACUACGUGCCAGCAGCCGCGGUAAUACGUAGGGAGCGAGCGUUGUCCGGAAUUACUGGGCGUAAAGGGCGCGUAGGCGGGAACUUAAGUUAGAUGUGAAAACUCCGGGCUCAACCUG